UUGGUUAUGUUUCGAAGGACGGAUUCCCGUGCAUUCCUUGUUCACCUGGAAGAUGGGGCAAGAAAUGCGUGGAUACUUGUAGCUGUCAACAUAACGAGAGAUGUGAUAACGUGUAUGGAUGUGUUGAGGGGACAACUAUGUCAGGCUCUGUUGAAAGUGACAAAUGUUACAAAAAUACAAGCAAUGCAGGAACUAGAUCUUGGUUUUGUUUUAAUAAUCACGAGGAGAAAAAUGGGAUUUGUGUUGAAUGUGAAAUUGGAUAUGUUUCAAAGGACGGAUUACCGUGCAUCCAAUGCGUAGAUGGAACAUGGGGAAGAAAAUGCGGAUAUCCAUGUAACUGCCAAG